CGCCCAGCAGCUAGCUCAUAUUACGACAUCAACAUACCACUAUCAAUACCCACAAACUAUACUUUUCCCCAAAAACAAACCAUUUUUCCUCCUAAGUACGGGCGACGAAAAAGGACCUAGAAGCAACAGAGAAAGUACCGCAAGGGAAAGCUGAAAAAGAAAUGAAAUAACCAAACAAGCACUAAAAAGCAGAGACAUUCCCUCGUACCUUUUGCAUCAUGAUUUAGCAAGAAACACUUAAGCAAAAAGAAUUAUAGUUUAAUACCCCGAAACUAAAUGAGCUACUCCAAGGCAGCCUGAAUAUAGGGCAAACCCGUCUCUGUGGCAAAAGAGUGGGAAGAACUUUGAGUAGAGGUGAUAAACCUACCGAAUUUAGUUAUAGCUGGUUGCCUGAGAAUUGAAUAGAAGUUCAGCUCUUUAAAUUCUUCCCCCAACAUCUGGCCUAUACCUUACCCCAGGUAAUAAGAAGUUAAAGAAGUUAGUCAAAGGGGGUACAGCCCCUUUGAAAUAAAAAACAACUUUCCCAGCAGGAUAAAGCUCAUAUCAAAUUUAAGGUACAUGCCCCCGUGGGCUUAAAAGCAGCCAUCCAAUCAGAAAGCGUUAAAGCUCUAGCAUUCUACACUUUCCCCCAGAUACCGACAAGCUCUUCUUAAUCCGCUAUCUUUAUCAGGCUAUUCCAUACCCCCUUAUGGAAGCAAUUAUGCUAAUAUGAGUAAUAAGAGAGAUACUAGCCUCUCUCCCUGCACACGUGUAUAUCAGAACGAACCCUCACUGAAAAUUAACGACCCCAAAACCAAGAGGGCAUUGAAUAAUAAAUAAAUAACCGGAAAAACAUCCAACUACCCGUCGUUACCCCCCACACUGGUGUGCCUCAUGGGAAAGACUAAAAGAGAAAGAAGGAACUCGGCAAACACAAGCCUCGCCUGUUUACCAAAAACAUCGCCUCUUGAACAACCAAUAUAAGAGGUCCCGCCUGCCCAGUGACUAUAAGUUUAACGGCCGCGGUAUUUUGACCGUGCAAAGGUAGCGCAAUCACUUGUCUUUUAAAUGAAGACCUGUAUGAAUGGCAUCACGAGGGCUUAACUGUCUCCUUUCUCCUGUCAAUGAAAUUGAUCUCCCCGUGCAGAAGCGGGGAUAAUAACAUAAGACGAGAAGACCCUAUGGAGCUUUAGGCUCCAGAACAGACUAUGUAAAACACCCUCAUACAAGAGACAAAACCUAUUAGACCCUGUUCUAAAUGCCUUUGGUUGGGGCGACCGCGGGGAAACACACAACCCCCAUGUGGACUAGGAGCACAACCCUCCCACAACCCAGAGUUACAACUCUAAGUAACAGAAUAUCUGACCAACUAAUGAUCCGGCACAGCCGAUCAACGAACCGAGUUACCCUAGGGAUAACAGCGCAAUCCCCUUUUAGAGUCCAUAUCGACAAGGGGGUUUACGACCUCGAUGUUGGAUCAGGACAUCCUAUUGGUGCAGCCGCUAUUAAGGGUUCGUUUGUUCAACGAUUAAAGUCCUACGUGAUCUGAGUUCAGACCGGAGUAAUCCAGGUCAGUUUCUAUCUAUGACAUGAUCUUUUCUAGUACGAAAGGACCGAAAAGAAGAGGCCCCUGUUCAAAGCACGCCUCACCCUUACCUAAUGAAAUCAACUAAAAUAGGCAAAAGGGCAUACCCCUUUAGCCUAAGAAAAUAGCCU
rnacentral:rRNA from 1 species